AAGAGUUUAUAGACUUCGGUCUACUACUCCACCCUUUGUUUACAAUACCAUUGUUGCUUUGGCAGGCCUGUCGUAAGACAACUGGCUUCGGCUGGUCAGUGCCUGCCAAAGGACCUAAAACUCAUGUUUAUAUUAUUGUCUGAGUACUAUAUAAUAGUUA
rnacentral:misc_RNA from 1 species